GACGAACGCUGGCGGCGUGCCUAAUACAUGCAAGUAGAACGCUGAAGGAGGAGCUUGCUUCUCUGGAUGAGUUGCGAACGGGUGAGUAACGCGUAGGUAACCUGCCUGGUAGCGGGGGAUAACUAUUGGAAACGAUAGCUAAUACCGCAUAAUAGUAGAUGUUGCAUGACAUUUGCUUAAAAGGUGCAAUUGCAUCACUACCAGAUGGACCUGCGUUGUAUAAGCUAGUUGGUGAGGUAACGGCUCACCAAGGCGACGAUACAUAGCCGACCUGAGAGGGUGAUCGGCCACACUGGGACUGAGACACGGCCCAGACUCCUACGGGAGGCAGCAGUAGGGAAUCUUCGGCAAUGGACGGAAGUCUGACCGAGCAACGCCGCGUGAGUGAAGAAGGUUUUCGGAUCGUAAAGCUCUGUUGUAAGAGAAGAACGAGUGUGAGAGUGGAAAGUUCACACUGUGACGGUAUCUUACCAGAAAGGGACGGCUAACUACGUGCCAGCAGCCGCGGUAAUACGUAGGUCCCGAGCGUUGUCCGGAUUUAUUGGGCGUAAAGCGAGCGCAGGCGGUUAGAUAAGUCUGAAGUUAAAGGCUGUGGCUUAACCAUAGUACGCUUUGGAAACUGUUUAACUUGAGUGCAAGAGGGGAGAGUGGAAUUCCAUGUGUAGCGGUGAAAUGCGUAGAUAUAUGGAGGAACACCGGUGGCGAAAGCGGCUCUCUGGCUUGUAACUGACGCUGAGGCUCGAAAGCGUGGGGAGCAAACAGG
rnacentral:rRNA from 1 species